rnacentral:rRNA from 1 species
GAUGAACGCUGGCGGCGUGCCUAAUACAUGCAAGUCGAGCGAACGGACGAGAAGCUUGCUUCUCUGAUGUUAGCGGCGGACGGGUGAGUAACACGUGGAUAACCUACCUAUAAGACUGGGAUAACUUCGGGAAACCGGAGCUAAUACCGGAUGAUAUUUUGAACCGCAUGGUUCAAAAGUGAAAGACGGUCUUGCUGUCACUUAUAGAUGGAUCCGCGCUGCAUUAGCUAGUUGGUAAGGUAACGGCUUACCACGGCAACGAUGCAUAGCCGACCUGAGAGGGUGAUCGGCCACACUGGAACUGAGACACGGUCCAGACUCCUACGGGAGGCAGCAGUAGGGAAUCUUCCGCAAUGGGCGAAAGCCUGACGGAGCAACGCCGCGUGAGUGACGAAGGUCUUCGGAUCGUAAAACUCUGUUAUUAGGGAAGAACAUAUGUGUAAGUAACUGUGCACAUCUUGACGGUACCUAAUCAGAAAGCCACGGCUAACUACGUG